rnacentral:rRNA from 1 species
AAGGAGGUGAUCCAGCCGCACCUUCCGAUACGGCUACCUUGUUACGACUUCACCCCAAUCAUUUGUCCCACCUUCGACGGCUAGCUCCAUAAAUGGUUACUCCACCGGCUUCGGGUGUUACAAACUCUCGUGGUGUGACGGGCAGUGUGUACAAGACCCGGGAACGUAUUCACCGUAGCAUGCUGAUCUACGAUUACUAGCGAUUCCAGCUUCAUGUAGUCGAGUUGCAGACUACAAUCCGAACUGAGAACAACUUUAUGGGAUUUGCUUGACCUCGCGGUUUAGCUGCCCUUUGUAUUGUCCAUUGUAGCACGUGUGUAGCCCAAAUCAUAAGGGGCAUGAUGAUUUGACGUCAUCCCCACCUUCCUCCGGUUUGUCACCGGCAGUCAACUUAGAGUGCCCAACUUAAUGAUGGCAACUAAGCUUAAGGGUUGCGCUCGUUGCGGGACUUAACCCAACAUCUCACGACACGAGCUGACGACAACCAUGCACCACCUGUCACUUUGUCCCCCGAAGGGGAAAACUCUAUCUCUAGAGUGGUCAAAGGAUGUCAAGAUUUGGUAAGGUUCUUCGCG